rnacentral:lncRNA from 1 species
AUGAAAGAAUUUAACGCGGAGCUCUCUUCUGACCCAGAAUUGGAAACCUUUCUUACCUCAUAUUUGAAAUCUAAAGCGUCCAAGACGAAUGCAUCUACUUGUGCCACCAGCGUUGCUAGGCAGCUUAUAAGCAAGUCACUAUGCAAGCAUCUCGUCCUCAAAGGCAAAUCCAAGACGAAGCAUAGUUUUGAGAAGUUAAAACUUAAAACCAUCAUCACAAAUAUUGUACGCAAAAAAUUCCCCAAGGUUUCAAAGGGUGAAAUUAACGAGACAGUUGAUAAAGCCUUAUCAAGAUUAUUCACUCAAACAGCUUCGAAUAUUAAACAGGGUAAGUUCCAUUUUACAAGUCUCCCUUCCCUUUCACAGGCGCACCUACAUAUGCACUCUCACAUAUACACCAGGUUUGUCACCGUUGGUGAAAAUUGGAAAAUGUCAGGAAAUUCGAUGUAGUCAGGAAGAUAGCAGGAAAAUCAGUUAUGAAUCAGGAAAUUCCGACUGCGUCAAGCAUUUUUCACCUACAUUCAGUUUAGCACAUGCACAUGUGAAACAUUUUAUUCAAUGCAUCAAAUAUAUUCGUCCAUAAAAUCAAACAAUGUCACUUUAUUUGUGCAAAAAUCAAGAAAAUUCAAAGGAAACUUUUGUAAACACCCUGUACCCACACACUUAGAGGGUAAAAUUGAGUGAAAUGGAUUUUUGCCUUGCACUGAUUAUGACUCUUAGAAAGAUACGUCAUUGUAAAACUCUGAACCUUGUAAGUCAAUGCAUUAUGUACAUACGCAUGGAACCCUUUUUGAAAACUACUUCCAAUCCAAAAAUGUACAUAUGUAUUUUCCUUUCUCCAUAUCUCCAGUGAUUAAUCCAUCUUAGGGCUUUAUCUUCAUUUAACUUCUGCAUCAUUUUUAAAUCCAUUGAAUUUGUCUCUUUACAGACUAUCAAAAUCAGAUACACCAACCAAAGUUCAGACUCAGAUUGCAGAAGAUAUUGGAUCAUCAGCAAGCGAUUGAAAUUUCAAUUUUCGACAGUUCUUCUUAGUUUUUAAGAAAAUAUGAAUUUUUCUUACGUUCCAAGCCUCUAAAACGAACUGUUCCUCUCGGCUUAUUUUUGGUUUUGUCAUUU